rnacentral:lncRNA from 1 species
AUGCGGGAGAAGCAUCUGCCACGACUUUGCUUCUGGAAAGAGGGGGGUUGUGGGGUGAGGGGUCACACUGCUGGGGGCCUUUCCAGACUCCAGCGGGGACUUGAGCCCAAGAGUGGCCCCAGGAAGGAGACCCCGGCGCUGACCCGAGGUGCCUCCCUGGCCGCUGAAAGGAGAGGCUGCCCAGCCGUCUGUGGGGCCAGCUCACAGGGAGUGGAGCGCCCUGCAACCGGAGGCCUUCCCUGUGCGGCUGACGGUCGGGCAGGCUCUGACCCGCAGGUGGGUGCACCCGACGCUGGCGGGAAUAGCAGGGCUGUGGGAGCCGAGACCCGGCACAGGGCUGCAGCCCCACUAGGUGCACUACAGAGGCGGCCCCGCACCUGCCUCCUCCUCUCAGCCCCCAGUUCCUCCCUGUCUCCACAGGGAGCAGGGAAGGGGCCACAGGUGCAGCAGCCUGUCCACAGAGCAGGAGCCACAGAGGCCCGUGAGGCCUGCCACUGGGGGACGGAGGAGGAACCCACAGCUAUGCAGCCGAGAUGGGACCCUGGCCCGUCGCCUGAGCCCACGACACCUUGGGUCCUUGCCACCACCGCUGCGCGUGCUGCCACUGUCACCAGCCGCGGAGGGCCUUCCUGUAGCCCACGCUCUAGGCGGCCGAGCAACAAGCAGAGUCCAGCUCUGGCAUCCCACUCUGGAGCCUCAGCCACUCCGGCCCCACUGUGCACGGAGACACUCGACAACCUCCCAGCUGUAGAAGUCAGCCGUCCACCGUGUCUACCACCCACGUGCCCUCACCGAGGGACCAAGCAUGCUGCCUUCCCAAGUGCCCUUUCUGGGCCAGGUGCACCAGGUGACGGCUCCAUCCCUUGCUCUCCCCUGCCUUCCCUGGCCCCGUCCCCUGCCCUCUCCUGCCCUCCCCUGCACUUGCCACCCCCAGGGGUGGCCGUCCCACUGCUGUGCUCCCAACCCAGAAAGUACCAGAAAACCAGGCCCCAUAGUCGGGCGGUCAGUCAGGACACUCGCAUCGUGGGGAGACUGACUUGGGGUUUCAGGCUUCAGCCUCCCACUGGCCAACAGUCACUGACAAAGGAAGUGGUAAAACUCAGGUUUCUGCACCAACAAGACUAA